CACGUAGGAGGCGAGCGUUAUCCGGAUUUACUGGGUGUAAAGCGCGUGCAGGCGGUUUUGUAAGUUGGGUGUGAAAGCUCCUGGCUCAACUGGGAGAGGUCGCUCAAGACUGCAAGACUAGAGCAUGGUAGAGGAAGGUGGAAUUCCGGGUGUAGUGGUGAAAUGCGUAGAGAUCCGGAGGAACACCAGUGGCGAAAGCGGCCUUCUAGGCCAUGACUGACGCUCAGACGCGAAAGCCAGGGGAGCAAACGGG
rnacentral:rRNA from 1 species